rnacentral:rRNA from 2 species
AAUGCGGGUGCUAUACAUGCAAGUCGAACGAACUCUGGUAUUGAUUGGUGCUUGCAUCAUGAUUUACAUUUGAGUGAGUGGCGAACUGGUGAGUAACACGUGGGAAACCUGCCCAGAAGCGGGGGAUAACACCUGGAAACAGAUGCUAAUACCGCAUAACAACUUGGACCGCAUGGUCCGAGUUUGAAAGAUGGCUUCGGCUAUCACUUUUGGAUGGUCCCGCGGCGUAUUAGCUAGAUGGUGGGGUAACGGCUCACCAUGGCAAUGAUACGUAGCCGACCUGAGAGGGUAAUCGGCCACAUUGGGACUGAGACACGGCCCAAACUCCUACGGGAGGCAGCAGUAGGGAAUCUUCCACAAUGGACGAAAGUCUGAUGGAGCAACGCCGCGUGAGUGAAGAAGGGUUUCGGCUCGUAAAACUCUGUUGUUAAAGAAGAACAUAUCUGAGAGUAACUGUUCAGGUAUUGACGGUAUUUAACCAGAAAGCCACGGCUAACUACGUGCCAGCAGCCGCGGUAAUACGUAGGUGGCAAGCGUUGUCCGGAUUUAUUGGGCGUAAAGCGAGCGCAGGCGGUUUUUUAAGUCUGAUGUGAAAGCCUUCGGCUCAACCGAAGAAGUGCAUCGGAAACUGGGAAACUUGAGUGCAGAAGAGGACAGUGGAACUCCAUGUGUAGCGGUGAAAUGCGUAGAUAUAUGGAAGAACACCAGUGGCGAAGGCGGCUGUCUGGUCUGUAACUGACGCUGAGGCUCGAAAGUAUGGGUAGCAAACAGGAUUAGAUACCCUGGUAGUCCAUACCGUAAACGAUGAAUGCUAAGUGUUUGGAGGGUUUCCGCCCUUCAGUGCUGCAGCUAACGCAUUAAGCAUUCCGCCUGGGGAGUACGGCCGCAAGGCUGAAACUCAAAGGAAUUGACGGGGGCCCGCACAAGCGGUGGAGCAUGUGGUUUAAUUCGAAGCUACGCGAAGAACCUUACCAGGUCUUGACAUACUAUGCAAAUCUAAGAGAUUAGACGUUCCCUUCGGGGACAUGGAUACAGGUGGUGCAUGGUUGUCGUCAGCUCGUGUCGUGAGAUGUUGGGUUAAGUCCCGCAACGAGCGCAACCCUUAUUAUCAGUUGCCAGCAUUAAGUUGGGCACUCUGGUGAGACUGCCGGUGACAAACCGGAGGAAGGUGGGGAUGACGUCAAAUCAUCAUGCCCCUUAUGACCUGGGCUACACACGUGCUACAAUGGAUGGUACAACGAGUUGCGAACUCGCGAGAGUAAGCUAAUCUCUUAAAGCCAUUCUCAGUUCGGAUUGUAGGCUGCAACUCGCCUACAUGAAGUCGGAAUCGCUAGUAAUCGCGGAUCAGCAUGCCGCGGUGAAUACGUUCCCGGGCCUUGUACACACCGCCCGUCACACCAUGAGAGUUUGUAACACCCAAAGUCGGUGGGGUAACCUUUUAGGAACCAGCCGCCUAAGGUGGGACAGAUGAUUAGGGUGAAGUCGAACAAGAGCUGGCA